UACGUAGGAUGCAAGCGUUUGUCCGGAAUUAUUGGGCGUAAAGAGCGCGCAGGCGGUCUAUCAAGUCAGAUGUGAAAUAUCCGGCUUAACCCGGAGGGGUCAUUUGAAACUGGUAGACUAGAGUACAGCAGAGGAUAGCGGAAUUCCCGGUGUAGUGGUGAAAUGCGUAGAUAUCGACUUGGAACGCCGAAGGUGAAAACAGGCUGCUGGGGUUGCGCCGACG
rnacentral:rRNA from 1 species